UUAAUCCAAAUUUAAGUAAAUUUAUUCGAAAUAGAAUUUUUUCUUUUCCAGUCUUGCUCUGAGAUUAAAUAUUAAAUAAUAUAUUUUUUGUAAUGUUAUUUUUUCUUUUUAAUAGGACUUGAUCAAUUCGUUCAACAAUUACGCGAUACUUGUACACACAAAGUGAAAGCAAACUCCGUUAAACAGGAGUAUGAGAAACAAGAUGAAUUAAAGCGUUCGGCAUUGAGAGCCGUAUGCGCUUUAUCUAAGAUUCCAAAAGCAGAUAAAAACCAACAGUUGACCGAUUUCCUAAAAUCAAUUAAAGAUUCACCGGAGUUAAGCAAAAUAUAUGAAUAUGUU